rnacentral:lncRNA from 13 species
UAUAUAUAUAUGUUUGUCCUCAUGUAGCUCCCACUCAGUUUCAAGAGACAAAUGUGUGAGUAGAUAUAUUUAAAACAUGUGGCAAUUGUAGGACUAGAGAGAGAAAUUCAGAAAUUAUUAUAGGAGCUAAACCUAGACAGAAGGUUUAGGAAAAAUUCCCUGGAAGAAUACUUGUCUGAAUCGAAUUUUAAAGGAAAGGAAGGGUGAGUUAGAUAAGGACGGUAAGAAUGGAAGACAUGACAUAUUGUAUCUGGUUUCACUGCAAACCACUGGGUGUGGCUAAAUAAUGAAUUGAGAGGCAGCAAGGUGUCAGAAGAUGAGAUCAGUGCUUGCAACAACACUGUAAAAGAUUGGACUUUGAUUGUGGGGAAGCUUUGAAGGGUUUUAAGCUGGGGACUUAAAAGUUCAUAUGUGCAUUUAAAUAGAAAAUCCAGUGGAUGAAAAUAGGCAAUGUAUUCAUGUUUUCUUACUUAUAUAAUGGCAAACAUUUUGGGAAAGGUCAAGAAGUAAAGUGUCAGCCAUGUAAUUGUACCCCUUAUCUUGCCCAGAGGGCUCCCUGUGUGUGUACUCUGUGGGAUGAGUGUGUCCCAGCAGCAGCCCCAGCCACUCUUCCUUUGGGAUUGGCUUUGUGAAUUGGUGACUUCCUUAUUCUUCAUCACAUUUCCUUUUGUGAUGAAAGAAAAAGAACUGACCCUCUAGAGUUCCAAAGAUCAGUGAUCCUAGCCUGUCUUUGACAUUCAUGAACUUUCAUCGGGGGCAAGUCACACAACCUCCUUGAGCCCCAAUGAACUCAUCUGUAAUAUGGGAUAGUAAUGGCCAACCCAAAGGGCUAUGGUAAAGUCAUUGGAAGUCACUUUGAAAGACUUGUGCCUCAUUGAAAAAGACACAUCUCUGCAUGGUUUUCAUCCAUUUGCUUCAUCUCCAAGACAAGCUUUCUUUUUAAGGAGGAGAGAAGCCCAUUUCCCUGCCACCUGUCAGCAUUUAGCUUGCCACUGUGGCUUAUUAUUGCUGCCAUCUGCUGCCAAGAAGAGAUGUGCAUGA